rnacentral:rRNA from 1 species
AUUGAACGCUGGCGGUAUGCUUAAGACAUGCAAGUCGAACGGUAACAGGUUAAGCUGACGAGUGGCGGACGAGUGAGUAACGCGUGGGAAUCUACCUUGUAGUGGGGGAUAAGCCAGGGGAAACUUGGACUAAUACCGCAUACGCCCUAAGGGGAAAGGCGCAAGUCGCUAUAAGAUGAGCCCGCGUCUGAUUAGGUAGUUGGUGGGGUAAAGGCCUACCAAGCCGACGAUCAGUAGCUGGUCUGAGAGGAUGAUCAGCCACGUCGGGACUGAGACACGGCCCGGACUCCUACGGGAGGCAGCAGUCGGGAAUAUUGGACAAUGGGGGGAAACCCUGAUCCAGGCAAUACCGCGUGGUGUGAAGAAGGCCUGCGGGUUGUAAAGCACUUUCAGUUGGGAAGAUAAUGACGUUACCAACAGAAGAAGCACCGGCUAACUCCGUG